rnacentral:rRNA from 1 species
AGGAUGAACGCUAGACGACAGGCCUAACACAUGCAAGUCGAGGGGCAGCACAAGGAGCAAUCUGAGGUGGCGACCGGCGCACGGGUGAGUAACACGUAUGCAACCUGCCUGUAAGCGGGGAAUAACCCGUUGAAAGACGGACUAAUACCGCAUAAUACUAAAUUACUGCAUGGUAAUUUAUUUAAACAUUUAUGGCUUACAGAUGGGCAUACGCAUGAUUAGCUAGUUGGAGAGGUAACGGCUCCCCAAGGCAACGAUCAUUAGGGGCUCUGAGAGGAAGGUCCCCCACACUGGUACUGAGACACGGACCAGACUCCUACGGGAGGCAGCAGUGAGGAAUAUUGGUCAAUGGACGAGAGUCUGAACCAGCCAAGUCGCGUGCAGGAAGAAUGUCCUAUGGAUUGUAAACUGCUUUUGCAGGGGAAUAAAGUGCAUCACGUGUGAUGUUUUGUAUGUACUCUGCGAAUAAGGAUCGGCUAACUCCGUGCCAGCAGCUGC